rnacentral:misc_RNA from 1 species
UCCGGUUUGUCACCGGCAGUCUCCUAUGAGUCCCCAACUUAAUGCUGGCAACAUAGGACAGGGGUUGCGCUCGUUGCGGGACUUGACCCAACAUCUCACGACACGAGCUGACGACAGCCAUGCACCACCUGUGCACUGGCCCCGAAGGGCUGCCGUAUUUCUACGACAUUCCAGUGCAUGUCAAGCCUUGGUAAGGUUCUUCGCGUUGCGUCGAAUUAAACCACAUGCUCCUCCGCUUGUGCGGGCCCCCGUCAAUUCCUUUGAGUUUCAAUCUUGCGAUCGUACUCCCCAGGUGGAUCACUUCACGCGUUAGCUUCGUUACUGAACAGCAAGCCGUCCAACAACCAGUUGACAUCGUUUAGGGCGUGGACUAC